rnacentral:rRNA from 1 species
AGUGAACGCUGGCGGUAGGCCUAACACAUGCAAGUCGAACGGCAGCACAGUAAGAGCUUGCUCUUACGGGUGGCGAGUGGCGGACGGGUGAGGAAUACAUCGGAAUCUACUUUUUCGUGGGGGAUCACGUAGGGAAACUUACGCUAAUACCGCAUAUGACCUACGGGUGAAAGCAGGGGAUCUUCGGACCUUGCGCGAUUGAAUGAGCCGAUGUCGGAUUAGCUAGUUGGCGGGGUAAAGGCCCACCAAGGCGACGAUCCGUAGCUGGUCUGAGAGGAUGAUCAGCCACACUGGAACUGAGACACGGUCCAGACUCCUACGGGAGGCAGCAGUGGGGAAUAUUGGACAAUGGGCGCAAGCCUGAUCCAGCCAUACCGCGUGGGUGAAGAAGGCCUUCGGGUUGUAAAGCCCUUUUGUUGGGAAAGAAAAGCAGCAGGUUAAUACCCCGCUGUUCUGACGGUACCCAAAGAAUAAGCACCGGCUAACUUCGUG